rnacentral:siRNA from 1 species
UUGGACCAUCACGUGCACUCA